rnacentral:rRNA from 1 species
UACGUAGGGGGCAAGCGUUGUCCGGAAUCAUUGGGCGUAAAGAGCGUGUAGGCGGCCCGAUAAGUCCGCCGUGAAAGUCCAGGGCUCAACCCUGGAAUGCCGGUGGAAACUGUCGGGCUGGAGUCCGGAAGAGGCGAGUGGAAUUCCUGGUGUAGCGGUGAAAUGCGCAGAUAUCAGGAAGAACACCCGUGGCGAAGGCGGCUCUCUGGAACGCAACUGACGCUGAGACGGCGAAAGCGUGGGGGAGCAAAACAGG